rnacentral:rRNA from 1 species
GGUUAAGCGACUAAGCGUACACGGUGGAUGCCCUGGCAGUCAGAGGCGAUGAAGGACGUGCUAAUCUGCGAUAAGCGUCGGUAAGGUGAUAUGAACCGUUAUAACCGGCGAUUUCCGAAUGGGGAAACCCAGUGUGUUUCGACACACUAUCAUUAACUGAAUCCAUAGGUUAAUGAGGCGAACCGGGGGAACUGAAACAUCUAAGUACCCCGAGGAAAAGAAAUCAACCGAGAUUCCCCCAGUAGCGGCGAGCGAACGGGGAGGAGCCCAGAGCCUGAAUCAGUGUGUGUGUUAGUGGAAGCGUCUGGAAAGGCGCGCGAUACAGGGUGACAGCCCCGUACACAAAAAUGCACAUGCUGUGAGCUCGAUGAGUAGGGCGGGACACGUGGUAUCCUGUCUGAAUAUGGGGGGACCAUCCUCCAAGGCUAAAUACUCCUGACUGACCGAUAGUGAACCAGUACCGUGAGGGAAAGGCGAAAAGAACCCCGGCGAGGGGAGUGAAAAAGAACCUGAAACCGUGUACGUACAAGCAGUGGGAGCCUCUUUUAUGGGGUGACUGCGUACCUUUUGUAUAAUGGGUCAGCGACUUAUAUUCUGUAGCAAGGUUAACCGAAUAGGGGAGCCGAAGGGAAACCGAGUCUUAACUGGGCGUUAAGUUGCAGGGUAUAGACCCGAAACCCGGUGAUCUAGCCAUGGGCAGGUUGAAGGUUGGGUAACACUAACUGGAGGACCGAACCGACUAAUGUUGAAAAAUUAGCGGAUGACUUGUGGCUGGGGGUGAAAGGCCAAUCAAACCGGGAGAUAGCUGGUUCUCCCCGAAAGCUAUUUAGGUAGCGCCUCGUGAAUUCAUCUCCGGGGGUAGAGCACUGUUUCGGCAAGGGGGUCAUCCCGACUUACCAACCCGAUGCAAACUGCGAAUACCGGAGAAUGUUAUCACGGGAGACACACGGCGGGUGCUAACGUCCGUCGUGAAGAGGGAAACAACCCAGACCGCCAGCUAAGGUCCCAAAGUCAUGGUUAAGUGGGAAACGAUGUGGGAAGGCCCAGACAGCCAGGAUGUUGGCUUAGAAGCAGCCAUCAUUUAAAGAAAGCGUAAUAGCUCACUGGUCGAGUCGGCCUGCGCGGAAGAUGUAACGGGGCUAAACCAUGCACCGAAGCUGCGGCAGCGAC